UACGGAAGGCAGCAGGGGGAAUAUUGCACAAUGGGCGCAAGCCUGAUGCAGCCAUGCCGCGUGUAUGAAGAAGGCCUUCGGGUUGUAAAGUACUUUCAGCGGGGAGGAAGGCGAUGUGGUUAAUAACCGCGUCGAUUGACGUUACCCGCAGAAGAAGCACCGGCUAACUCCGUGCCAGCAGCCGCGGUAAUACGGAGGGUGCAAGCGUUAAUCGGAAUUACUGGGCGUAAAGCGCACGCAGGCGGUCUGUUAAGUCAGAUGUGAAAUCCCCGGGCUUAACCUGGGAACUGCAUUUUGAAACUGGCAGGCUUGAGUCUCGUAGAGGGGGUAGAAUUCCAGGUGUAGCGGUGAAAUGCGUAGAGAUCUGGAGGAAUACCGGUGGCGAAGGCGGCCCCUGGGACGAAGACUGACGCUCAGGGUGCGAAAGCUGGGGAGCAAACAGGGAUUAGAUACC
rnacentral:rRNA from 1 species